rnacentral:rRNA from 1 species
AGAAUCAACGCUGGCGGCGUGCCUAACACAUGCAAGUCGAGCGCGAAAGGGGGGCAACUCCCCAAGUAGAGCGGCGAACGGGUGAGUAACGCGUGGGUAAUCUACCUCCGAGUGGGGAAUAACAGCGGGAAACUGCUGCUAAUACCGCAUGACAUCGUCGAGCCUUCGGGCCUGACGAUCAAAGCCGGGGACCGCAAGGCCUGGCGCUUGGAGACGAGCCCGCGUCCGAUUAGCUAGUUGGCGGGUAAUGGCCCACCAAGGCUCCGAUCGGUGGCCGGCCUGAGAGGGCGACGGCCGACACUGGGACUGAGACACGGCCCAGACUCCUACGGGAGGCAGCAGUGGGUAAUUUUCGCGAAGUGGGGGAAACCCUGGACGAAGCAACGCCGCGUGGAGGAGUAGAGGCCGUUCGGGUACGUAACGUCCGUGUCGACCGGACGAACG